rnacentral:rRNA from 1 species
UGCUAAUCUGCGAUAAGCGUCGGUAAGGUGAUAUGAACCGUUAUAACCGGCGAUUUCCGAAUGGGGAAACCCAGUGUGUUUCGACACACUAUCAUUAACUGAAUCCAUAGGUUAAUGAGGCGAACCGGGGGAACUGAAACAUCUAAGUACCCCGAGGAAAAGAAAUCAACCGAGAUUCCCCCAGUAGCGGCGAGCGAACGGGGAGCAGCCCAGAGCCUGAAUCAGUGUGUGUGUUAGUGGAAGCGUCUGGAAAGGCGCGCGAUACAGGGUGACAGCCCCGUACACAAAAAUGCACAUGCUGUGAGCUCGAUGAGUAGGGCGGGACACGUGGUAUCCUGUCUGAAUAUGGGGGGACCAUCCUCCAAGGCUAAAUACUCCUGACUGACCGAUAGUGAACCAGUACCGUGAGGGAAAGGCGAAAAGAACCCCGGCGAGGGGAGUGAAAAAGAACCUGAAACCGUGUACGUACAAGCAGUGGGAGCACGCUUAGGCGUGUGACUGCGUACCUUUUGUAUAAUGGGUCAGCGACUUAUAUUCUGUAGCAAGGUUAACCGAAUAGGGGAGCCGAAGGGAAACCGAGUCUUAACUGGGCGUUAAGUUGCAGGGUAUAGACCCGAAACCCGGUGAUCUAGCCAUGGGCAGGUUGAAGGUUGGGUAACACUAACUGGAGGACCGAACCGACUAAUGUUGAAAAAUUAGCGGAUGACUUGUGGCUGGGGGUGAAAGGCCAAUCAAACCGGGAGAUAGCUGGUUCUCCCCGAAAGCUAUUUAGGUAGCGCCUCGUGAAUUCAUCUCCGGGGGUAGAGCACUGUUUCGGCAAGGGGGUCAUCCCGACUUACCAACCCGAUGCAAACUGCGAAUACCGGAGAAUGUUAUCACGGGAGACACACGGCGGGUGCUAACGUCCGUCGUGAAGAGGGAAACAACCCAGACCGCCAGCUAAGGUCCCAAAGUCAUGGUUAAGUGGGAAACGAUGUGGGAAGGCCCAGACAGCCAGGAUGUUGGCUUAGAAGCAGCCAUCAUUUAAAGAAAGCGUAAUAGCUCACUGGUCGAGUCGGCCUGCGCGGAAGAUGUAACGGGGCUAAACCAUGCACCGAAGCUGCGGCAGCGACGCUGAUGCGUUGUUGGGUAGGGGAGCGUUCUGUAAGCCUGCGAAGGUGUGCUGUGAGGCAUGCUGGAGGUAUCAGAAGUGCGAAUGCUGACAUAAGUAACGAUAAAGCGGGUGAAAAGCCCGCUCGCCGGAAGACCAAGGGUUCCUGUCCAACGUUAAUCGGGGCAGGGUGAGUCGACCCCUAAGGCGAGGCCGAAAGGCGUAGUCGAUGGGAAACAGGUUAAUAUUCCUGUACUUGGUGUUACUGCGAAGGGGGGACGGAGAAGGCUAUGUUGGCCGGGCGACGGUUGUCCCGGUUUAAGCGUGUAGGCUGGUUUUCCAGGCAAAUCCGGAAAAUCAAGGCUGAGGCGUGAUGACGAGGCACUACGGUGCUGAAGCAACAAAUGCCCUGCUUCCAGGAAAAGCCUCUAAGCAUCAGGUAACAUCAAAUCGUACCCCAAACCGACACAGGUGGUCAGGUAGAGAAUACCAAGGCGCUUGAGAGAACUCGGGUGAAGGAACUAGGCAAAAUGGUGCCGUAACUUCGGGAGAAGGCACGCUGAUAUGUAGG